GCUUACCAUGCAAGUCGAGCGGUAAGGCCCUUCGGGGUACACGAGCGGCGAACGGGUGAGUAACACGUGAGCAAUCUGCCCUCCACAUCGGGAUAACCCCCGGAAACGGGAGCUAAUACCGGAUACGACCACUUCAGGCAUCUGAUGGUGGUGGAAAGUUCCGGCGGUGGAGGAUGAGCUCGCGGCCUAUCAGCUUGUUGGUGGGGUAAUGGCCCACCAAGGCUUCGACGGGUAGCCGGCCUGAGAGGGUGACCGGCCACACUGGGACUGAGACACGGCCCAGACUCCUACGGGAGGCAGCAGUGGGGAAUAUUGGACAAUGGGCGAAAGCCUGAUCCAGCAACGCCGCGUGAGGGAUGACGGCCUUCGGGUUGUAAACCUCUUUCAGCGCAGACGAAGCGUCUGGGUUUUCUCAGGCGUGACGGUAUGCGCAGAAGAAGCACCGGCCAACUACGUGCCAGCAGCCGCGGUAAUACGUAGGGUGCGAGCGUUGUCCGGAAUUAUUGGGCGUAAAGGGCUCGUAGGCGGUCUGUCACGUCAGGAGUGAAAACUCGGGGCUCAACCCCGAGCCUGCUUCUGAUACGGGCAGACUGGAGGUAUGCAGGGGAGAACGGAAUUCCUGGUGUAGCGGUGAAAUGCGCAGAUAUCAGGAGGAACACCGGUGGCGAAGGCGGUUCUCUGGGCAUUACCUGACGCUGAGGAGCGAAAGUGUGGGGAGCGAACAGGAUUAGAUACCCUGGUAGUCCACACCGUAAACGUUGGGCGCUAGGUGUGGGACUCAUUCCACGAGUUCCGUGCCGCAGCUAACG
rnacentral:rRNA from 1 species